UUGGCAGCAGAACCUCCAGGUAUGAUUCACUCCUGGCACUGCCUUCUCUCUUCCCAGAUAGACCAGCCCUGGUAAACAGAAAGUCAGGGAGUGUGUGAUGAGGAGUGGCUACCAGUAAAGGAGGUGAGAGUUGAUGGGAGGGCCUUUGAUACCUUGAUGAAGUCCUGGGUUGAAGACACCAGUCUAGAAAACUGCCUGAGGCAUGUGGGGAGAAGCAUAAAGAUGCUGAGGAUCUGGAGGGGCUUGUGCACUACAGAGCCUGAAGCUGGAAACAAUUCCCAGCUGAGAACUAGUCAUCUGCUACAGGACAUGAGAUGA
rnacentral:lncRNA from 1 species